GAGAAGUUUCCACACCCUUAUAAGAAAUGUUUCGUUCCUCUUUCCAACUGAUGUGGGAUCUCACAAUCGACCUCCUUCGAGGUCCGACAUCCUCGUUGGCACUCGUUUCCCUCUCCAAUCGAUGUGGGAUCUCAUAAUCCACCCUCCUUCGAGACUCAACGUCCUUGUUGACAUACCAUUUGGUGUCUAGCUCUUUGGGUUUUCCCUUUCGGGCUUCCCCUCUAGGUUUUUAGAACGCGUCUCAAGGGAGAGCUUUCUACACCAUUAUAAAAGAAUAGUUCGUUCUCUUCCUCAACCGAUGUGAGUCUCACAACUGGAUUGUCUUUUGCUAUCAUGGAAAUAAUUGCAAUUUGCAUAUUGUGCACGUUAUUUUAUUUAAUAACUCUACAUGAUGACCUCUGCCAUA